rnacentral:rRNA from 1 species
GUCUUUGGCCAUACUACCCUGGAUGCAUCUGAUCUCGUCUGCUUUUGGAAACUAAGCAGGAUUGGGCCUGAUUAGUAUGUGGGUGGGAUAAAGCCUUUUUUAAAUGCAGGUUAUAGAAGAAU